rnacentral:rRNA from 1 species
UGAGUAACACGUGGGCAAUCUGCCCUGCACUUCGGGAUAAGCCUGGGAAACUGGGUCUAAUACCGGAUAGGACCUUUAGACGCAUGNCUUUUGGUGGAAAGCUUUUGCGGUGUGGGAUGGGCCCGCGGCCUAUCAGCUUGUUGGUGGGGUGAUGGCCUACCAAGGCGACGACGGGUAGCCGGCCUGAGAGGGUGUCCGGCCACACUGGGACUGAGAUACGGCCCAGACUCCUACGGGAGGCAGCAGUGGGGAAUAUUGCACAAUGGGCGCAAGCCUGAUGCAGCGACGCCGCGUGGGGGAUGACGGCCUUCGGGUUGUAAACCUCUUUCACCAUCGACGAAGGUCCGGGUUUUCUCGGAUUGACGGUAGGUGGAGAAGAAGCACCGGCCAACUACGUGCCAGCAGCCGCGGUAAUACGUAGGGUGCGAGCGUUGUCCGGAAUUACUGGGCGUAAAGAGCUCGUAGGUGGUUUGUCGCGUUGUUCGUGAAAUCUCACGGCUUAACUGUGAGCGUGCGGGCGAUACGGGCAGACUAGAGUACUGCAGGGGAGACUGGAAUUCCUGGUGUAGCGGUGGAAUGCGCAGAUAUCAGGAGGAACACCGGUGGCGAAGGCGGGUCUCUGGGCAGUAACUGACGCUGAGGAGCGAAAGCGUGGGGAGCGAACAGGAUUAGAUACCCUGGUAGUCCACGCCGUAAACGGUGGGUACUAGGUGUGGGUUUCCUUCCUUGGGAUCCGUGCCGUAGCUAACGCAUUAAGUACCCCCGCCUGGGGGAGUACGGGCCGCAAGGCUAAAACUCAAAAGGAAUUGACGGGGGGCCCGCACAA